rnacentral:rRNA from 1 species
UAAAGAUAAUUUGUGUUAUAAGAUAAUAAAUUAAUUAAAAGUGGAAUUUAAAAAUUAAUUUAAAUUAUUUUAAAAUUUAAAUUUAUUUAAAGUUCUUAUAAAUUUUAGAUUUAAAAAAGGAUUAGAUACCCUUGUAUACUAAAAAGAAAAUAAACUAACUUGGAUAUUAAUAGUUAUGUUCUUUAAAUCUAAAGAAUUUGGCGGUACUUAAGUCCAGUUAGAGGAAUUUGUAUUAUAAACGAUAAACCGCGAUUAUCUUUCUUUAUUUUGUAAUUCUCAGUAUGUAUACCGUCAUUAUUAAGUUGUUUUAUUAAGAAAAACUGUAAUAAAAAUUUAUUUUAGAAUAUUAGAUCAAGGUGCAGCUUAUAAUAAAGUAUAUUAUGAAUUACAAUUAUAUAAAAUAAUACGGACAAAUAUAAAAUGAAAUUUUAUUUUAAAGGUGGAUUUAAUUGUAAAUUAAUUUAUCAUCUUUUAUUGAUAAGGUUCUUAAGUAUGUACAAAUCGCCCGUCGUUCUCGUUUU